UGGGGAAUAUUGCACAAUGGGCGCAAGCCUGAUGCAGCAACGCCGCGUGAGGGAUGACGGCCUUCGGGUUGUAAACCUCUUUUAGUAGGGAAGAAGCGAAAGUGACGGUACCUGCAGAAAAAAGCACCGGCUAACUACGUGCCAGCAGCCGCGGUAAUACGUAGGGUGCGAGCGUUGUCCGGAAUUAUUGGGCGUAAAGAGCUCGUAGGCGGUCUGUCGCGUCUGCUGUGAAAAACCCGAGGCUCAACCUCGGGCCUGCAGUGGGUACGGGCAGACUAGAGUGCGGUAGGGGAGAAUGGAAUUCCUGGUGUAGCGGUGGAAUGCGCAGAUAUCAGGAGGAACACCGAUGGGCGAAGGCAGUUCUCUGGGCCGUAACUGACGCUGAGGAGCGAAAGCGUGGGGAGCGAACAGGAUUAGAUACCCUGGUAGUCCACGCCGUAAACGUUGGGCGCUAGAUGU
rnacentral:rRNA from 1 species